rnacentral:lncRNA from 1 species
UAUCUUAUUUGUCUAGCAUGACAUGAAAACUUGAUAUGCAUCUAAAGUUUAUAAUAUGGCUUCUAUGACUUAACUUAUAUGAAAAUCCAUGAAGGAUUUUAAGUUGCUUGAAGCAUCUACAAUUCUUGAUCUUGAGGUACCACUUCCUCAGUCCAAAGAUUGCUGAAGAGUGAGUCUGAUGGUAGUCUUCUUGGAGUGACCA